GAUUUAUCGCCGAGGGAUGAGCCCGCGUAGGAUUAGGUAGUUGGUGUGGUAAAGGCGCACCAAGCCGACGAUCCUUAGCUGGUCUGAGAGGAUGAUCAGCCACACUGGGACUGAGACACGGCCCAGACUCCUACGGGAGGCAGCAGUGGGGAAUAUUGGACAAUGGGCGAAAGCCUGAUCCAGCAAUGCCGCGUGAGUGAUGAAGGCCUUAGGGUUGUAAAGCUCUUUUACCCGGGAUGAUAAUGACAGUACCGGGAGAAUAAGCUCCGGCUAACUCCGUGCCAGCAGCCGCGGUAAUACGGAGGGAGCUAGCGUUAUUCGGAAUUACUGGGCGUAAAGCGCACGUAGGCGGCUUUGUAAGUAAGAGGUGAAAGCCCAGAGCUCAACUCUGGAAUUGCCUUUUAGACUGCAUCGCUUGAAUCAUGGAGAGGUCAGUGGAAUUCCGAGUGUAGAGGUGAAAUUCGUAUAUAUUCGGAAGAACACCAGUGGCGAAGGCGGCUGACUGGACAUGUAUUGACGCUGAGGUGCGAAAGCGUGGGGAGCA
rnacentral:rRNA from 1 species